CAGCUGACGGUCAUGAGAUUCUGUGCAGUUGUGUGCAGUUAGGUGCUUGGGCAGACUCAGUUUAGAUGUAAUGUAAUAUAGUAUAUAAUAAUAUAGUAUAGUAAAGUAAUUAAUUAACCUUCUGAUAUCCAUGGAGUCAGAUGCAUCCUUUCUCCCCUGUCGGGGACGCCUUGUUUACUACACCCUCCAGAUAAAGAACUUCUUCCUGAUUCUAACCUAAAUCUCACCUGGCAGAGUUCCCUGCCAUUCCCUUGUGUCAUAUCUCUGUUCACCAAAGAGAUUUAUGCCUUCCCUGCCACUUCUCCUGGAAUCUUUGGACCACAAUGGGGUCUCCCCUCAGUAUCUCUUCAAGCCAAGUGACCUCACCCACAAGAGCUGUUCCUCACACACCACCUGCUCCUCAUAUGGUGUCCUACUCCUCAGGCACCCGAAAGAAGUACCUGGAGUGAAAGGCAGCCUGGAACAUGUCAUUUGCAACAGAGGAAAAAGAAAACAGCAGAAAUAGAAUCUCUGGGAGCAACGUAGUACUGUACACAUGUGUGAGUGACAUAGGAUGCCCCCAGGCUCAGCCAUCAGAAAACUCUGUGUACAGUCCCAUCCAUCAAUUCCUAUCUGCAAAAUGUCCUUCAAGGCACAAAUUUCUCAUGUUACGCUUCUAGUAACUUAAAGACUCCAACCUGGCCUUAGAUGAAGAUAGACACCUGACACUCUUGCUCUUUCUUCCGAGGAUUUUUCAGUCUGUAAUCAUGGCAUUGGAUGUCACACAACUUUCAGGAAUGCUACUCUUACUGGAAAAGACUGUCUGUUCUGUGCUUCAGAAAGUGUCCAUCUGUGUCAAACACUACACUUCCUACAUGAUGUGAACCCAGCCCUUACAAGAAAUGUGAGUGAAGUGAAACCAAUAGCCAUGCAACAAUCCCACACCACUGGAAGCAUAUGAAUCACAGCAAGUAGUGGCACCCAUCACCUCAAUUGCUAAAAAAAUAUAUGUAGCUUUUCUUUGGGUGGCUAGAGUGCUUUAGUUUCCAGUAUUUUUAUGUGGUUUAUGCUUUGAAAUGCAGCUCACAAUUUUCAUGUCAUUGCUAUAUCUGCCAACUAGAGAAGAGAUGAAAAAAUGGAAGAAAUGUAGAUUUAAUCCUACUUGGACAGCUCGAGAGUGUAGUUUUUAUCUGAAUGUUUUUUAAAGAUAUUGUAUCUUACCCCGAUUUGGAAAAAAAAAAAAAAAAAGGAAUAUUGUGAAGGCACAAAAAGCUCAUCUCCCGUGCACACAGAGGAAGGCAGAGGGCAGCAGUGCCCCAGUCAGAGACAUGAGCCCCUGCCCUAUCCCCCCUCCUCCCAGGGAUAUCUUGGUGAGUACCAUCACCAUACGUCUUGCAGAGUGGGGGUCAUUGUUAGAUGCAUGAGAAGACAACCUGGGGUUGUGCAAGACUUAUUAUGGAAGAAAUCAAAGGUGGGGAAAGGGAGGCAUCAACAUCAAAUGGGGUUGAGGAAGAGUGAGACAACAAAAGAAAAAGGAUGUAAAAGGUAUCACUUGCCUGUAAACAGCUUGCAGGUCAGCUGCUCUGGCCAUGUCCUGUGCCUGAGCCGCAUGGUCUGUCCUGUCUUUGAAUUAAAUUUCACUAAUUCAUUAAUUAAA